UGUUCACUCCUUCAGAGCCACUGAAACGUAGCACAAUGAUGAUGUCACUGAUUCUACUGCUGGGGACACUGGGGCUCCUUGUUCAGGAAUCAUCAGCAGAUAUAAUUCUGACUCAGUCUCCUAAAUCUCAGUCUGUUAGUCCAGGAGAGACUGUCUCUAUCAGCUGUACAGCCAGUUCAAGUACUAGUGAUUUUCUCCAGUGGUACCUGCAGAAACCUGGAGAAGCUCCUAAACUCCUGGUUUAUUAUGCUACAACCCGUCAGUCUGGGAUUCCAGGUCGUUUCAGUGGGAGUGGAUCUGGUAGUUCUUAUACUCAUUACACUCUGACCAUCAGUGGAGUCCAGGCUGAAGAUGCAGGAGAUUACUACUGUCAGCAGGGUGCCAGCUUUCCGUUCACACAGUGUUAGAGCGUCGUACAAAAACCUCCCUCAGCUAAAGAGGAACGGAGUCUCCCUUAUUCUAAAGUAUUCUAAACACCAAUUUUUCAAAAUAUGACACUACAAUAAUGUAAUUGUUUAGGCUUGUCUAUGGAUUAUGAUACUGUACAUAACUCAAAAUAUUCUGCAAAUGUUAAAUCUUUGUUUAACACACUGGGACCACUAAGGAUACAGCUGUAGAAAAUGCUUUCUUUUGAAAGACGUUGAACAAAAUUCAGAAGAGGUUUAGAUAUUUUUUCACGCUUUGAUUCAACUUCAUAUUGUAAGAAGCACUCAUUUCAUUACGCAAUAGCAUGAAUGUUGAUCCAGUCCGAACCCAACUAUUUAUGCCCUACUCAACUUCUUUACCCCUCCAACCUUGAAGGAGUGAAUACAGUCAUAUCGAUUCCAUUAAAGUACUACAUUUACGUCAUUUAGCAGACGCUCUUAUCCAGAGCGACUUACAAAUUGGUGCAUUCACCUUAUGACAUCCAGUGGA